UCCAUAGCUCAGUGGUAAAACAUUUGCUUUGAAUGCAGAAGGUUCCAGGUUCAAUUUAUGGCGUUUCCAGAGAGGAC